rnacentral:rRNA from 1 species
UACACUCCUGCGGGAGGCAGCAGUGGGGAAUUUUGGACAAUGGGCGAAAGCCUGAUCCAGCAAUGCCGCGUGAGUGAAGAAGGCCUUCGGGUUGUAAAGCUCUUUUGUCAGGGAAGAAACGGUGAGAGCUAAUAUCUUUUGCUAAUGACGGUACCUGAAGAAUAAGCACCGGCUAACUACGUGCCAGCAGCCGCGGUAAUACGUAGGGUGCAAGCGUUAAUCGGAAUUACUGGGCGUAAAGCGUGCGCAGGCGGUUUUGUAAGUCUGAUGUGAAAUCCCCGGGCUCAACCUGGGAAUUGCAUUGGAGACGGCAAGGCUAGAAUCUGGCAGAGGGGGGUAGAAUUCCACGUGUAGCAGUGAAAUGCGUAGAUAUGUGGAGGAACACCGAUGGCGAAGGCAGCCCCCUGGGUCAAGAUUGACGCUCAUGCACGAAAGCGUGGGGAGCAAACAGGAUUAGAAACCCGAGUAGUCCCAUGA